CCCUAGAACAAUUCCCCACUUCGCCUCUCGCCUCUCCAUCCAUCUCAUCUGCUCCAUUCGCUCAAAAAAAAAAAAAUCUCAUCUGCUCCAUGGCCGCCGCCCCCCUCAAACUUCCUGGCUGCAGCCGCCGCCCUCCUCCACAGGUAAAUCCAACCAGCGCCGCUCGCCAUCCACUCCUCCGACCUCCACCGCUGGUCGUCUCUCACCUUCGCCACCGCCGCCCUGGUGAACCUGAGUAGGCCACCGCCGCCCGCCUUCCAUCUCCCCGACCUCCACCGUCGCUUGCCUGCAUCUCCAUCCGUUGCCGCAUCCCACCUCCCUUGGCCCACCCUACCCCAACCCUGCCGCCUUGUACGCGUUGCCUGCACCACGUGCUCCCUGCCCCAGAUCUGGGUAAGUCUACUGUCACACAUCCAGCAAGUCGCCGCCUCCUCUGUGACGUGACAGCAGCUGGCUCCUUCUCUCCAUUUUGUCCAAGCCAGCUGAUCCGUUUUGUUGUGCUUGAAUCUGCCAUAUCAUCUAGCCAUUAAUGAAGUUGCAGCCCACUGUUAGAAUUUCUAGAUAUCGCCUCCUUUGACAAAUCAUUUUGGCAUCUCUUGUAGGUACUGCUUCUCAUCUUUACAAAUCUUUGUGGCGGAAGGAAGGAAGCCAUAUAUGACAGAUGCAGUGAAGAGCAAAGAAAAACCUGUCUCAGGUACCUCUCACGCUUUGACAACAUACCCUUCUCUUGAUUUGGUAAUUAUCUCCCUGUUCACAUACGGCCUGCUGGAAGAGUGAGGCAGUGCGUGUCCGCGCUCUCUUUUCCGUGUGUGUUUUUAGCUUCAGGUGCAAACCCCUGGAUGCCGAAGACUAUGAGGAGUACAUACAUCUUCUUUAUCAAGUUCUUGCAGGUCAGCAGUGUGAGGUGACUAAUGUACAUGCUUGUCUAUCUAAUUUUUGUGUCUCUUCCAUUAUGUAUCUAGUCCAGCUGUUAUAUUCCUCAGUUACCCGGAAGGGUAUAUGGCAUGCUGGAUCUUCUUUGAGGGCAUGAUUUAGUUCAGGUCCCCUUAGCCAGUCUUUGGCACCUAGCAUCAAAUCUGCAGCCAUUAUUUGCCCCAAUAUCUACAUAGUCCCAUUACUUUAUUUUACUUCCUUGAAUUACAAUAUUCACCCUAUCAUGUUGGUAGAUGAAGCUGAAUUGGUCAUCUGUUUAGAUAAAUUGUUGUUCCACUGGCUACAAGUAAACUUUACUUUUUCAGAAAUCCUUAGUUCUUGUUCUGAAAAAUCAUCUCUCCAUGAUUGGAAUCUUGAGAUUGUACACGUUUCAUCAAAGCAAAGAGGGCCAUGACCUCAUUAAGAAUGCCUCUUAAUGGGCACAAGGUCGAACUUGAAGUUACAGGUGAGUAUCAUUUACUCCUGUCCAUUAUUUUAUAAAGCACUAAAAUGUAGUAUGACAUCUAAUAAUUGCAUUGCUGCCAUAUGCCAUAUCUAAGAUUUGCAAAGAAAAUAGUAGAUGAACAUCCUUUUUUUCGUCCUUGAUUAGCUAAGUGUUUUUGCUCAAUAGUUUCAUGCUAUUUAAGUUAUCAUCAAGUGGGCCAGAUUAUGUUCUGGAGCCACUUUGAAACAUAAAUAAUGUAUAUUUCACAGUACUUUAGGAUCUAUUUUAUAGAUAUGCCAAAAAGAUAAACCUUGAAAGAGUUAAGAGGAUAACAACUCUCAUGGUGAAGGAUGUUGCUCAUCAUCUCCUGCUCAAUUCAGUAUUAUUCUCAUUAAUGGUGUACAUAACUUUGCAGGGGAACACCGAUUCAUCCCCUGUUAGUUUGGAGGCAACACUUAUGGUGACAACAUGGUGGUAGCCUAGGUGACUUAGAAACUUAUGAAGAUGUAGUUGAUGCUCUAGAUCAUGAACCAAGGUGACUUAGAAACUGAGUAUUUUGUUAUCAUUGCAUUGCAUUGUGCAGUGUGGUGGAUGAUUAUGUUGACUGGUGGUGCCAUGUACACGUACAACUGUCAUGUUAAUGCUGUUAAGCAAGUAAACGUUUCAUAUGUCAACUAGCAGAUGUUAAAUCAUGCAUGGAUUUAUGGAUGGAAAUAUGCUAUGUGUACUGAUUUUGGAUGCACGUACAAAGAUGUGAUGUGGAUUUGGGUUUUAAAUGGAUCAUACGUGGACCACUGGUAUGUGCUAAUAAAAGGAUAUUGAUUUGUCUGUUGCGUGCUCAACAUUGAUUCCAGAAAACGAAAAUUACGUGCUUUGCUAGCCAUUUUUCCUGUAGGUUGGCCGUCACAACAACUCUGACCUCUAAAUCUGAUGGCAUCGAGAUUUUCCUUACGGUGGCUGACAGGAAUAACCGUCAGGGAAAUAUUCCCUGUCGGUCGACCGUCAGGCAAUUAAGGAUUUCCCUGUCGCUUUAUUCCUGGCGGAAUUUUCCUGUCGGGCAACCGUCAGGAAAUAUUUUCCUGACGGGAUUUGCUAUUUUCUUGUCGGUUCUUAGC